UUUCGCAAUGCCCGAAAGGGUGACGAAGCGACGCCGCGUGCGGGAGGAAGGCCUUCGGGUUGUAAACCGCUGUCGGGAGUUAAGAAAUGCAAGGAUGUUAAUAGCGUUCUUGCUUGACUAAGGCUCCGGAGGAAGCCACGGCUAACUCUGUGCCAGCAGCCGCGGUAAUACAGAGGCGGCAAGCGUUGUUCGGAAUUAUUGGGCGUAAAGAGCACGUAGGUGGCUGUGUAAGUCGGUUGUGAAAGCCUUCCGCUCAACGGAAGAACGGCAUCCGAUACUGCAUGGCUUGAGUGUGGGAGGGGAGAGUGGAACUUCUGGUGGAGCGGUGAAAUGCGUAGAUAUCAGAAGGAACACCGGCGGCGAAGGCGACUCUCUGGUCCAUAACUGACGCUGAGUGUGCGAAAGCUAGGGGAGCAAACGGGAUUAGAUACCCCGGUAGUCCUAGCCGUAAACGAUGGGCACUAAGUAGAGGGGUUUU
rnacentral:rRNA from 1 species